rnacentral:rRNA from 1 species
UACGUAGGGGGCAAGCGUUGUCCGGAAUCAUUGGGCGUAAAGAGCGCGUAGGCGGCCCGAUAAGUCCGCUGUGAAAGUCAAGGGCUUAACCCUUGAAUGCCGGUGGAAACUGUCGGGCUAGAGUCCGGAAGAGGCGAGUGGAAUUCCUGGUGUAGCGGUGAAAUGCGCAGAUAUCAGGAGGAACACCGAUGGCGAAGGCAGCUCGCUGGGACGGUACUGACGCUGAGGCACGGAAAGCGUGGGGGAGCAAACAAGG